GCAACUUUUAGUAAAGUGUAAGACUUUUUCUUUAAUGCUGACUAAGGUGACACUUAAGUGUUGUGAACUAAGGACUACAAUAAUGUCAACGCAAAAUGGCCGCCCUCAACCUCCGAAUCAGCCAAUAGUGAGCCUGCAAGGGUGACGUCACAGCAGCAUGACACAGUUCAUUCAUGAUUUAAAUAAGACAUUACAAUUAUUUUAAUAUUUAAAUUUGAGAAAUAAUUUUUGCAUUGUGUGCAAAAAUAUUACAAGUAAGUACUUUUAUUCUGCACAGUUUUAAUUAUGAGUUUCAACACAUUAAUUAAAUGGACAAAUGUGAUGCCAUUUAAGUAAUUAAGCUGAUGAAUCGCAUCAUUAUAAAUUGCUUUCACAGUUGUAUAUAAAGGAAAGACCAAAGUUGCAAACUGUUAAAAAUGGAUUCAAAAAGAAAGCCAAACUGGUCCAAGGAAGAAAAUGUUCUUCUUGUGCAGUCAGUCCUUAAAUGGAAUGAGGUAAUAAGAGGGAAAUCCAGUCCAACUUUAACUAGUAAGGACAAAAAAAAAAAAAAAAACAGAUUGCAAUGACUAUAAAUGCAGCAUUUUCUUGUACAAGACGAUCAGCAGAGGAUUGUGAGAAAAGGUGGUACAAUAUUUUGCCAACAGCACGCAAGGAAAUUGCAGCAUACAAAGAGAGCAUGCGAGCCACUGGUGGAGGUCCUCCAUGUAAACCUCUGACUGAGAUAGCCGAGAUAGUAGAGGAGAUAUUUGGAAUGGCCAAUCCUUCCAUUUGUGGUAUCGCAGAAUCCCCAGACCCUGCUCUAGUCAAAUUGAAGGAGUUACAAAGAUGUGUGGAUGAUGCUGGAGCUGGUCCAUCUGAUGCACCUUCUCCUGUAUCUCAGGACAUCUCACUGUGUCCUCCAGAUGAGCCUGCCUCACAAGACACAGGGUUCACACAGGGACCAGCCCCUGAGGAUGACAUUUAGUCUCUUAAAAGAAAAAAGCUCAAAUUAGAAAUUAAGUUGCUGGAAAUUCAAAAUGAAUAUUAUGCGUUAAAACUGAAAAGAUUAAAGAAUACUCAAUGAUUGUACAUAUGCUUUGUGCAAAUAAAAUUG